rnacentral:rRNA from 1 species
UACGAAGGGGCUAGCGUUGCUCGGAAUCACUGGGCGUAAAGCGCACGUAGGCGGAUUGUUAAGUCAGGGGUGAAAUCCUGGAGCUCAACUCCAGAACUGCCUUUGAUACUGGCGAUCUCGAGUCCGGGAGAGGUGAGUGGAACUGCGAGUGUAGAGGUGAAAUUCGUAGAUAUUCGCAAGAACACCAGUGGCGAAGGCGGCUCACUGGCCCGGUACUGACGCUGAGGUGCGAAAGCGUGGGAGCAAACAGGGAUUAGAUACCCCGUG